UCCUUCAUUUAGUACUCUAAGAAGAUGCCGUUCACCCACUACCACAAUUUGGCGGCAGUCAUAAAAUUGCCACUAAAUGGUGUUUUUAAGCUAACUUUUGCCGGCAAUUAACCUUAAGCCACUAAAAAAAGUAACCCAAUAACAAUUAUUAGUAUAGUUUAAAAGACCAAAAACCCUCUUCAAUCAAAUUUUAAAUUUAUUCUCGAAUUCCGAAGUACUCCAUCUAUGUUUCUCCAUUUUAUCUGAAGCAGUGGAUUGAAUUGAAACUCCCUUCCAUGGCUACGAUGGAUUUGAUUGAAGUGCGAAUCGAUUUUAAGCGCACAACACGAGGGCAGAGCGAUGGAAGCUGGAGAAAUCAACUAGAGUUUGCUUAGAAUUGGUCAUUUUAUAAAUGUUGUAGUUGAACACUCUGGUUCAAUCCAGUCCUAUGUUUAUUAUAGAGUGCUUUUAGUUCUUGUAGCAUUUCAGAAUAGGUAUUGUUCUAGUGUUACUUCCAGAGCUCUAUAACAUAUUCUAUUCCGUCAAAUCAGUUUGAGUGCUGAUGGGAAGCAGUUGUGCAGUCUUUAUGAGCUGGCUAAUAUGGUGCCAACAUUAGCAAAAUUCUAUCAUGAAGCCAGUGAAUCUUAUGAACAAGCUUGCACACGCCAUAUAAAUGUGAUUAUAUUCUAUCAAUUUGAGCGACUUUUUCAGUUUGUUCGAAGAAUCGAGGAUUGGAUGUACACAAUCCCGCCUGAAGAGGUUAGGUUAUAUUUGUUUUUUCAUCUAAGCUUCUCCUCAGUUACAGCAUUUAUUGUCGGCUCUCCUCUUAAGGAUAUCUUAAUUUUCCUUGUAUGAGGACAAUAUUGCUUGUUAAUUAGUUUCCUGCUUUGUUACUAAGUUGAUGCAAAUUUGAAAUACUACAUGACAUUAAAUUACCAAUACUGGAAUAAAGUUGUAAUCUCUUUUGCAGAUGGAA